GAGAUGAGUUCUCCCUGAGACUACAAGUCUCCUGAAGGAACGUUGAAGACGACGACGUUGAUAGGCCGGGUGUGUAAGCGCAGCGAUGCGUUGAGCUAACCGGUACUAAUGAACCGUGAGGCUUAACCUUACAACGCCGAAG
rnacentral:rRNA from 3 species